rnacentral:misc_RNA from 1 species
AACCUUAUGGACCUGCGGGCGUAUACCUGCGGAGGGAUCAUUAAUAAAUGUUACUUCGGUAACUUAAUUAAUCCCUAACACCUGUGCAUCUUGUCGCUCCGGCGUCAUUUUAUAAACAUCAGUGUAAUGAAUGUAACGUAUUAUAACAAAUACAACUUUUAACAACGGAUCU